AGGAGGCAAGAAUCUUGUUUAACUUAUUUACCAUCCCUGAAUGAAUGGGAGGAAAUCUGCUUGGAGAGUCUGCAGCCAGAGCAAGAAAAGGGAGGCAGAGAGAGGGCAGCCACAGAGAAAAGAAAAGAAAAGAAAUACAUUCAGGCAAUGUGACUUGCCGGAAGCCUCAGCUGGCUGCAUCUGAAGCCCAGGGAGUUAAAUAACUCCCCAAGGUCACACAGAUAUGGGCAUGCAAACCAGGGCUCCUGACUCUAAGCUGUGUGAUCAGAUGGCCAUGGGAAAGGGGGCUCCUCACUGGCCGGAAGGGACACUCCAGACCCUCUGUGGCUGACCCAGGCUGCUUCCACGGGGUGGCAGAAGGACUGGGACCAAAUCGUGCUGGACUUUGAUAAGAUUCACUCCCGCACUGGGCCUGAUGGACUUUCUGGCUGGAAUUUGUGUAACUGCCCAAUUCUGGUAUGUCUGGGGAACCUCACGAACGAUAGUAAUAAUUGGAAGAGUAGUAGCUAACAUUUUUUUAAGCACUUACUGUGUAUCGGACUUGGGCUAAAUACUACACGUGCUUCAUUCUCAGUCCCCUCAGGAGCCCAUUUUUAUCAUCCCUAAUUUACUUAUUUUUUUAUUUUUUUGUAACUUUAAUUUUUAAAAAUUUUCGGCCUCACCACGUGGCAGGUGGGAUCUUAGACCAAGGAUCGAACCCAUGUCCCCUGCAGUUGGAAGUGCCGAUUCUUAACCACUGGACCACAAGCGAAGUCCCCACCCCUAACUUAUUGGCGAGGAAACUGAGGCACGGACUGCUCACAGAGCUGACCCUAGCCCCAGGUCACCCUAGUAAAUGGCAUCCCGACAGCCGACUGACCCUCGCUAACCCCAGCCUGGCAGACUCCUACAGCAGCCUCACAAGCCACGCUGGCCUUACCGUCUCCUUCAGCGGGAGGCUGGGCGGGGCUGGCAGCCUCAGCAGGGCCCGCCCCCAGCGCAACAGUGAAAGAGACAAAGACUGACUAGAGAAGCUGCCCUCUCUGGUCAGCAUCUUGGGGCCCUUUCCCAGCCUGUUGCCUGGCCUUGGUGCUCUUCCCCACAUCUGGCUUUUGCAUCCUGAAAAGAAUCAGCCCCUCCUCUCAGGCCCAAAGGGAGCUGUCCAGCUCUUCCUAUACAGCACACGAUCCCCACCCGAGAGCAGGCAUUUUGAAUUGCAGCCUUUUGGGUUUAGACAAAAUGUAUCUGUCACUUGGAAAUUCGAUGGUGUGCCUGUGCCUGGGAGAAUCCCACCAUUAAAGCUGGUAACACAGGUAAACACUUAGGCCAGCACCCGGCAUAUGCACAGUGAGUAGAUUAGGGGGUCACUCGUGGGACCCCUGAGAUGCAUCAUCCAUGGUAAUAAUAAUGCUAGCAUUACCAGCUACCAGUUAUUAUCAGUCACAAGACUGACCCUGUGCUGAGCACUUCACAGACAUUUAAUAUUUGCAACGACCUAUAAGUUACAUGCUACUCCUCCUCAUCUUGCAGAUGAGAAAACUGAAGCGAAAGUCUCAUAGUUAGUAAGUGCUUGAGGUGGGAUUUGAACCCAGGCCUACAGAUUAGUGGCCUUCUUGUAGUCACUCUGCUCCUGGCUGAUUGGCCCUGUGCAUGUCCCACAAGUACACAGGCCCCUUGGGUAAAGUAGGCAGCGUUUCCUGAAAUUCCAAAAAUGCUCCAAGCAGUUCUAAUGGGAAUGUCCUGCAACUUGGGUCAGGCUUUGCUUUAACCCUCUAGUUGGCUGCUGGCCAGCACUCACCUUCCUGUGUCAAACUCUUCUGAUCAAUAACUAGGGGAUGCUUUUAUGCUCAUAAAGCACCCACUAAAAUACCACCUCAUUACUGUAAUUCUUGAUAACUCCUCCCCACCAAAGAAUCUCCUUUCCCUUCUCCUGUUUGUCAGCUGAGCUACUAAUUUAUAUGUUCUGUUUGUCCUUCGCUUUUAGGUCCUACCUGAUCCUCCCUCCUACUGUGACCUUGGGGGUCCAGGAUACAUUCCAUGCAAACUCCCCCUCCCCACUCCUACCACCGGUAUGGCCUUGAGACAUGCAUUUAACUCUAGCCCCUCUGUUUGCCCACCCUAUUAUCUCUUUCUUAAUACUUCUCUGGUCACAUCACUCCUGCUCCUCCUCUGAUUGUCUAUGGUGUCCCUAUCAUUGCUUCCCUCCCCCGAGCCAAUGGCACUGAACCGCCCAACAUGUGUAAGGGUGACUGCCUGGAAAAUGUAACUUUCAAAGAGCCUGAAGUUGAAUGACAGUAAACAGAACCUUGGAGACCCAGACAUCAUCUAGGGUAUACAUGGACUCAGCAGCAGGAACUUAGGCAUAAGGCAAGAUGGGAGAGAGAGGGAUGGGAUGAUCAAAAGAAUGAGCUGGAGGGAGAAAUGGGAAAUGAGGGAAGUGAUAUUGAUUCAACCAGGCCAAAAGAAUCCUUGACUGUCAGUGUUGGAAAGACCCUUAGAGAUCAACCAGUCCAGGAGUGACAAAGGAGUUUCAAGUCAUGAGCUAAUGCUGAGUGAUGAAUAGCAGCUGCCUGGAGUGUGUCCUGAGAAGAAAGUGUCGUUAUUGAUUAGCAAUGUCUGCCAUGGGCACUAGAUUAGAAAUGGUAGCAUGCGUGCCAGAAUUUACAUCCCUGAUCUAGUUUCGACCUCUUCUUUCUGGAGCAACUGAGAAGCCCAGAGGGGAAGAGACUUGUCCAAGGUUUAUACAUUGGAGCAAAUCUCAGGGCCCUUGCUGUCUCCUAAAACCCAAGUGAAGGUUGCACACACAUCCUAGCCAAAGACAAGGGACCCAGGGAAAGAGGGUCCUCAGUAUGGAAUAACUAGUAAAGGAGCAGCCAACUUGAAGCUGUGAAGAAGACUGUGGAUGCAUCGUAGACCAGACACUGGGUGAGUGCUCAGUUCUCACUAGGUGAUCAGUUGACCGAUAUGCCCAGUACCCUGGUUGUACCUCCUCUGACCUCUGGCCUCCCACCCAGGGAGGACAAGGAGGCUCCCUGGAGCAGAGGCCUUGGCUCUCUCUAGACAAAGAGUAGAGAACACAGUCAGAGGGAGGCAAAAGGAGGGGGAAAUGGUCUUGAGGCAGGGAUGGCUCCCAUAGGAGCAAAGGCACUGACUAUGCCACAGUGGAGAGGGCCUUGGAGAAGAUGGCAAUUAGGAGGCAAACACACAGGCACCUGUGCAGGUUUGGUAUGUGAGCCAGAGGAGAAGAAAGAACCUCCAGGUGACAAGAGCUGCAGAAUGGAGAUAAUGAUACCCUGACAAAGCAGUGGGGGCUUGGAGCCAAGCCCGGCCAAGGUGCUGGCACAGCUAAGCCAUGACGUACCACUUCCAGGCUGGGGAAUGUGGGCCGUGGAGGGGCAGGGAGGUGGGCUGAGGUGCCCAGCAUCAGCACAGCCUCAGAGGUUUGCUACUGAACUUCUGCCUCCCUCCCUGUCUCUGUUGCUUUUCCCUUCCCUUCCUUUCCCAGUCUAUCUUUUCCCUUCUCUUUUUUUCUUCCCUGUACUGCUCUGUACAACAGAGUCUCCACCAGGAGCAGAAAUGGGGAAGGGAGUGGUGAGAAUAGUGGUGACACUGAAAGAUCUGGGAGCCGCUUUCAUGCAGAUCACCUCCCAAGGCUCUGAAAACAACCCAGGCUAUGAAGGAAUCCAAGAGCAGAGAAUCAGAUCCAACAUCAUACCCAGUUUUUCACCAAAGGAAACUAACGCCCAGAGAAGUGAAGACCUCCGCCAAGUCAGUGUCACGCUGAUUUGCAUGCCACUUUCCAUCCCCCUUCUACUGCUAGCACUCCCAUAUUUUCCCUGGGGAACCACCCCUUCCCUGCCUCUGUCCAUGUGGUUUAGAAAGUGCUGAAUAAACCUGACCGUACCCAAGAUCUCAGGGUGGCAUAUGACUGGAGCUGGCCCAUCUGUGCCUUCCAACCCUGCAUCACAAGUCUCGAUAACAGUUGAUCCCAUAAGGUCAGCACUGGAUCUUUUGUGGAACAACUGGAAAACGAGUGCUUUUUUUCCAUCGGGUUUGUCAUGUUGGUAGGUUUAAGCCUGGAGCUGCUUAAAACACUUAUGGAGUGGCUACCAUAGAGUAAAGCCAACACAAAGGAAAGGAGAGACAGAUGCCAGAUGACACCGUCUGAGUGCCUGGAUCCAGCUAUACCUGAAGACUAACCUUAGACUUUUCAGUUAUGUGAGCAAAAAAAACUUAAGCCAGUUUGCAUUGGAUUUGCAUCCAAGAGACUCUAAAGCAGCUUAGAGAAACAGAAGGAGAGAAAGACCACCCAGAGACAGAGACAAUUGCAGGGAUGAGGACCAGGUCUGAUAAGAAAGUGGGGGAGUGGGAGGGCUGGUCCAUUAGGAUCACUGAACUGACAUGCAACAGUGAAACAGGAAUACCAGAAUUUAUUGGAGGGAACACACAGCCAAGGAUGAUUCUGCAGGUGGAUUAAUCUGAGGUGGGGUGAAAGUUUCUUUCCUGCUACAUAAGCUGUCUAUCUGUGUACUAACCAAAGUCUGCCGGAGCCCCCAGCCUGCACAGGGCGUGGGUCGACAGAGGGUGGGGAGGAAGGCACGGUCAGUUGGAGUUUAUCUUGACAGUCAGCAGCCAGUUGCAACGGACGUCCCUACUAAUAGCGCUAUUAGUAGCUCAUAAGCCUCAUUCCAAGACAGAUCUUUAAAGACAAAUGAAAACAUUCAACCAAUCCCUGCUUAUCACGUGAGCUCAGCAUUGCCCCACCCCCACCCCGCCCCAAUCCAUUCCUUAUCAGACGUCCCCAGAUUUUAUCUGAUUUACAGGAUACUAAACUUAGUGAUAAACAAGAGAGACUGAAGGAGGAACUAAGUCACAAGCUUGACUCAUCCACAGUCCAGGUUGCUCAGUUCCGACACGUCGCACAUGCAGCAACCUGGGGAAGGUGACCACAACUUUCCUUGCUGUAGCGGCACGAUGUGCUGGAACCUCAUUGAUUAUAACCUAAUGAGAUGACCUCCUGGGGACCACCAACCUUGGGCCUCCUCUGUGCUGCUUGCAGGAGGUGCCAGGUGGGCAUGGGCAUGGUGGGAGGAAGUCAUGCCCCGCGCUGAUAAGAAACUCCCUUCCCUUGUCCCAGACACACCGAUGUCUGCCUCUCAGGGGUGAGAGGGAGGACACGGCCUUAAAGAAAGACAGAGAGGGUGGAGGGUCUGGUGCCUGGGAGUUAUUUCUCUCUUUACUCGUCCCCACCUCUCCCACUUCCCGUCACUGGGAAACCAUCAAUGCUUUAAAAAAAAAAAAAAUGACAUAAACAAAAUACAUAUAUGUAGUAGAUGUGUACCUAUAAAAUUCAAUAUAUAAAAAUACAUACAAUAUUCAAGGAGUUGUCAUUCCCCCUGUCAACUCUUUGUUUUAGAGAACUUUCCAUGCUUUGCAGUUAAGGUCCGCCCCAUCAUUUCUUACAGCAGCAUGGUAAUUCUGUUUAUUUAUCCACCCCCUUAUUGAUGGACAUUGAGGUUGUAUCUGAUUUUUUUUUUUUUUACUGUUGCAAACAAGAACAUCUAAUACAUUUUGUGCAGUGAACACCUAAUAAAC